AACAAUGUCAGUCGACUGGUAGCGGUAGAAACAGCAGUAGAAGCGCGUUUUCUCCAAGAUGUUGGCGAUUUCCUUUCUUGUUUUGUUUAGGUUCUUUUGUCUGUCUUUGUUCGUUUUAUGAACAAUUGGACGGGUAGGGUUGUGUAGGUCCGUGGUCUUUACUCAGGUUUUCUUGCGUUUGCGAUUUUACGGUGGUGGAGUUGCUGUUCCUCUCCAUUCUCGAUGAUUUUUGUCAUUUUGCGUGGAAAGGGUGAUAGGAUCUUGUCAGGUCUCAACACCGGCUUUCAGGCGGUGACAGCUUCAAGCGGUGCCUUUUGUUUCUUUUUCUAUUUU
rnacentral:lncRNA from 1 species